AUUGAACGCUGGCGGCAUGCCUAACACAUGCAAGUCGAACGAGUGGCGGACGUGUGAGUAAUGUCUGGGAAACCGCCUGAUGGAGGGGGGCAACAACUGGAAACGGUAGCUAAUACCGGAUAUCAUCGGAUGUGUCCAGGUGGGCGUAGCUAGUGGGCGGGGUAACGGCUCACCUAGGCGACGAUCCCUAGCUGGGUUGAGAGGAUGACCAGCCACACUGGGACUGAGACACGGUCCAGACUCCUACGGGAGGCAGCAGUGGGGAAUAUUGCACAAUGGGCGAAAGCCUGAUGCAGCCAUGCCGCGUGUAUGAAGAAGGCCUUCGGGUUGUAAAGUACUGUCGGCGGGGAAGCGUUACUCGCAGAGGAAGCACCGGCUAACUCCGUGCCAGCAGCCGCGGUAAUAC
rnacentral:rRNA from 1 species